AAUGACACUCAGAGGUCGGGGAAGCAAGGAGGCACUCUGGUCCCUCCCCGUGCAAGGUGAUGUAGCACUGAGUUCUCUUCCCGGCUUGCGAGCGCCAUUCCUCAGCUACCGUGCACCUGCGUCUCCAGCAAAGUCUUGGUCGCUUUGGGUGGGCACAUCUGAGACCGAGAGCCUGGUGCCAGAAACCACUGCGAGGAGGUGAAUCAUGGUGCUGGUGCUUUCGAAUAAUUUUGGCCCUUUGGAUGCAGGUGGAAAUGAUUUGUCUCCGGGAAAAUCACCGAACUGAAUGCUCUAGCAGAGAGAGACAGAGAGAGAGAAAGAGAAGAUCCCAAGCAGACUCCAUGCUGUCAGCGCAGAGCCCGGCAUGGGGGCCGAUCUCACAAGCUGUGACAUCAUGACCUGGACCGAAAUCAAGAGUGGCCUGAGCCACAUCAACAAUUUUUAAAACUAUUCGCAGCCUCUAUUGUGUGAAGGAACACGAUUUUCUGGAUUCCCUGAAGCGCCUCAGCACACUGCGUUGAGAGUCUGCCUGGCAACAGCCAUCUAGGUCCCAGGGAUGGUGCCGGAGGGGCCCGGUGGCCACAUACAGCCUCAGCCCUAAUAGUAAAGACUCCGCAGUGCGCCCGAGCCUUCGUGCCUGCCCUCCUACCCCUGUGAACCCUCUGGUCUCCUCCCAUCUUUGGCCAGAGGGAACCCCUUCCCAGAUUGUGUCGGAUUGAGGGUGAAGCCCACACAGCCUGGGGCUCCCUGGACGGAGAUGGGUCCUGGCCCUUCCAGGCCCUGACGACGCUGUGCGGCUGGAGCUCCGUCCCCCACCUGUGCCUUGAGGCCCUGCCCCACUUUGUGAUGGCUCUGAAGGGUCAAGGGCGGGACACGGGUCCACACUGAUUUUCAAUCUGGGCCAUCACAGCGGGCCUUUUUGGGUUAACGUUUAAAAAAUGUGACCUCCUCUCUCCAUGGAGGCUGAGAAGCGUCCCAAGGAGGGUUUCUACCCCAGCGGGGCCGGCUCCUGCGCUGGCGGCCUGGAAAACACUGCUGUCCCCGGCACUGUCCUGGUGCCUGGAGCUGGUGGUGGCUGCACGAACAGAACCUCGGCGCCAAGCAAAGGGCAGAUCACCAGGCCCAGUGACCGUCUGCGUCAGUCCCAUACCCUCUGAGGCUGCGGGAGAUCAUCCAGAAGCUUUCGGGCCUCUCAGCCCUGUGACGUGAGAGGGCAGGACAUCUUCAAAUGUAUGGCUGAGGACAUCAAGGUCCAGAGAAAAGAGUGAUGGGCAGAAGCCAGGGCGAGAAGCCAAUGGCCUGAUUUCUGGUCCUGGGCCAUUUCUACAAUUCAGUUCUGCCUCCCCCCACUACUCCGGUCUUGCUGAAAAGUAUGUAUUCACCAAGAGGCUACUCCUUGCUGACUCAUUCAUUCAUUCCUUUCGUGAACCAUUAUGGAGCUCCAGGCACUGUUGUAUGUCUGGAAUACACAGCAGUGAAAACAAAAAUGAAACAAAACCCAAACCAGCCCUUUCUGUUCGUUAUGAUUAGGCCCUGUUAAGGGCAGUGCCGUGAUAAAGAGCUCAGAGGCUGGGGCCCGGCUGCCUGGGUCUGAGUCCCAGCUCCCCUGGUCACCAGCAGCAGCCUCUCUGGCAAGUUUUUCAAACCUUCUGCAUCUCAGUGUCUUCAUUGGUGAGUCAAGGAUAAUUAUAGUACCUCCUCGAGGGCUGUUUAGUGCGGUGGACACGAGGGUACAAGUGUAUUCUCAUGAGUACCUGAGUCGUCUCUGGCACGCAGCAAGCCCUCCAGAAAAGCUGCUGGUGGGUCCAACCGAUCUUAUGGGGGGGCUGAAAAACCUAAAUACGUGUGAAGAUUGCAAAAUGCUUAAGAAUACA